GCGACCCCAGGUCAAGCGGGACUACCCGCUGAAUUUAAGCAUAUCAAUAAGCGGAGGAGAAGAAACUUACAAGGAUUCCCCUAGUAACGGCGAGCGAACCGGGAACAGCCCAGCUUGAGAAUCGGGUGGCUUCGCUGUCCGAAUUGUAGUCUGUAGAAGCGUCCUCAGCGACGGACCGGGCCCAAGUCCCCUGGAAAGGGGCGCCUGAGAGGGUGAGAGCCCCGUCGUGUCCGGACCCUGUCGCACCACGAGGCGCUGUCGGCGAGUCGGGUUGUUUGGGAAUGCAGCCCCAAUCGGGCGGUAAAUUCCGUCCAAGGCUAAAUACUGGCGAGAGACCGAUAGCGAACAAGUACCGCGAGGGAAAGAUGAAAAGGACUUUGAAAAGAGAGUCAAAGAGUGCUUGAAAUUGUCGGGAGGGAAGCGGAUGGGGGCCGGCGAUGUGCCCAGGUCGGAUGCGGAACGGUGAUGAGCCGGUCCGCCGAUCGACUCGGGGUGCGGACCGACGCGGAUUGAGACGGCGUCCCAAGCCCGGGCUGUAGUCAUGCCNGCGGAGACGUCGUCGCNUCGAUCGUGGUGGGCAGCACGCGCCUCACGGCGUGCCUCUGGCAACAGCGUGCUCCCGGCGUCGGCCUGUGGGUUCCCCAUUCGGCCCGUCUUGAAACACGGACCAAGGAGUCUGACAUGUGUGCGAGUCNACGGGCGAGUAAAACCCGUAAGGCGCAAGGAAGCUGACUGGCGGGAUCCCCUUGUGGGUUGCACCGCCGACCGACCUA
rnacentral:rRNA from 1 species